rnacentral:rRNA from 1 species
GGUUAAGCGACUAAGCGUACACGGUGGAUGCCCUGGCAGUCAGAGGCGAUGAAGGACGUGCUAAUCUGCGAAAAGCGUCGGUAAGGUGAUAUGAACCGUUAUAACCGGCGAUGUCCGAAUGGGGAAACCCAGUGUGAUUCGUCACACUAUCGUUAACUGAAUACAUAGGUUAACGAGGCGAACCGGGGGAACUGAAACAUCUAAGUACCCCGAGGAAAAGAAAUCAACCGAGAUUCCCCCAGUAGCGGCGAGCGAACGGGGA